AUGCUCUGUGGUGACACGUUGUGCCUUUCUCUCCCCCAUUCUAGGGCAUAUUCCCUUGUGGAUUCCAGCCAAGUGUCUACGUUCCUGAUUUCCAUUCUCCUUAUAGUCUAUGGCAGCUUCAGGUCUCUUAACAUGGACUUUGAGAAUCAAGACAAAGAGAAAGACAGCAGCAGCUCACCUGGAUCUUUCAAUGGUAACAGCACCAAUAACAGUAUCCAGACCAUUGAUUCCACCCAGGCACUGUUCCUUCCGAUUGGAGCGUCUGUUUCUCUCCUAGUCAUGUUCUUCUUCUUUGAUUCAGUUCAAGUAGUCUUUACGAUAUGCACAGCAGUCCUUGCAACAAUAGCCUUUGCUUUCCUUCUGCUCCCGAUGUGCCAGUAUUUAACACGACCUUGUUCUCCUCAAAACAAGAUUUCCUUUGGCUGUUGUGGACGUUUCACUGCUGCUGAGCUGCUCUCAUUCUCCCUGUCUGUUAUGCUUGUCCUUAUCUGGGUCCUAACUGGCCACUGGCUCCUCAUGGAUGCUCUGGCGAUGGGCCUGUGUGUUGCAAUGAUUGCCUUUGUUCGGCUGCCGAGCCUCAAGGUUUCCUGUUUGCUGCUCUCGGGGUUACUAAUUUAUGAUGUCUUUUGGGUGUUUUUUUCUGCCUACAUCUUUAAUAGCAAUGUUAUGGUGAAAGUGGCUACGCAACCAGCUGAUAAUCCCCUUGAUGUUUUAUCCCGGAAGUUGCAUCUGGGACCAAAUGUAGGUAGAGAUGUUCCCCGCCUGUCACUGCCUGGCAAGCUUGUCUUUCCAAGUUCCACAGGCAGCCACUUCUCUAUGCUGGGGAUUGGAGAUAUUGUGAUGCCAGGUCUUCUGCUCUGCUUUGUCCUGCGUUAUGAUAACUACAAAAAACAAGCCAACAGUGAUUCCUGUGGUACUCCAGGACCUGGGAACAUCUCUGGGCGUAUGCAGAAGGUCUCCUAUUUUCACUGCACACUCAUUGGAUACUUUGUAGGUCUGUUAACGGCAACAGUGGCUUCUCGCAUCCACCGGGCCGCACAGCCUGCCCUGCUCUAUUUGGUACCAUUCACUUUAUUGCCGCUCCUCACCAUGGCUUAUUUAAAGGGUGAUCUACGUCGCAUGUGGUCUGAACCUUUCCACUCCAAGUCCAGCAGCUCCCGUUUCCUGGAAGUAUGAUGGAAUAGAUGGAAAGUGACUGGAACUUCUGCCUUGGUCCUUUUCUCUUAACUUGUGGUUUUGUCUCCUAAAGCUGGACUGGUACUUGGAAAGUUUUACCAGCACAGUUGUAUAUGGUCUAAAACUUUGGGCGUGUGUGUGAAUAACCCAGAAAUGAAGACACGUCAUGUAUUAAAAGGUAAGCUUUUUUUAACUCUGUGCACAGAAUACUAUUCUGGUAAUGAACAAUGUUAUCAGUUGGCUAUGGUGACAGUGAAUUAUUUUCUCUACUCCAGGUAAAUCUUCCAGUUCAGUGUGUGCACAGUUGUGAUCUGUAAGUAUUUGCAUACCUCAAUUGCUGCUAAUCCAGUGGCUUACACCAAUUCUACAUCACCUUUGGCUGACAAUGACUGUCAGUAAUGAAUCCUGCUGAAUUGGUGCUGAAAACGGUUCAUCUGCUAGUGUAGAAGAGAGAGCACCAUUCUCCAGCACCUUUACAGAAAUCCACAAGCUCUCAAAAUCUUCCAGUCUGAGGUGUGGCAGGGCUGCUGCUGUCAGAUCUUCUCAUGGGCUAAGAGCUCCCAGGUGCUGAGGUCAACAUUGUAAGAUUGGAGAUGAGACAAUGCCAAAAAAAAGACCGAGAGAAAGGAGAUGGUGCCUUGUGCAACAGUAACUUCUUAUAUCUACAGUGACUUCCAUGUGGAGGCUCUCAAGUCCUUUAUGCCCGAGACAUUGAUGAAGAGCUGAGGCCCAGAGUGAUGAAGUGACUUGCCCAACAUCGCAUAAUGAGCACCUGAUGGACAAGAUUUUCUUCCCAAUCAACACAGACCCUUUGCAUCUGUCCAUCAGUUGAAGAACAUAAUUAAUUCCGUCGCUGCACCAAUACCCACCACUGCUGGAUCGAGAGAAUCUGUGGACUACUGAUACAGUUGGAGCUGUGCUAACAAUACUUUCGGCUUUGAACUUCCAGAUACUACUUCUGUGUGGAGUGAACAUGCAGCCUUCAUUCGACUUACUUGAUUAAAUAGAAUUUACAUUUCUCUGGGAUUUUUAACCAGAAAUAUCAGGUAUGUUCCAUUUCCUGCCUGGUUAGCCUCCCCAUACUUCCUUUUUUGCAGUGGCUUUUGAAAGCCACAAGAUUUUUUCUUAAGUGUUCAGUUGCCCCCUAGUGGGCUUCAGGGAAAUAACAUCCUCAUAGUUUCUUAUGGCCACUGUGACCAAUCUGCACUAGGACAUGCAAGAGCAAGAAAAAAAUCUUAUGGGCAUGGUCUAAGACUGGAGUAACUCCACUGACUUCAGCAGAGUUACUCGGCAUUCAUACUGGGGUAAUCGAGAUCAGAAUCUUGGCCUAUCUUCUAGGAGAUGGAACAAAGAUGCUUGCCCUCAUCUGUGGCUAUGGCAGGGCUGCUUUCCUCUAAGUCUCUGCCAGGAAAGAAAGCCGAGGGCAGUCAAACCUUUCUCUAAUCCCCAAAAGUGAAACAGCAUUACGCUUCGCUAGAAACAUGCUUGUGGAACUCUGGUCCUUAAUAGCAGUUUUUACUUUUGUGUAGUGAUCAUGCUGUACCUUGUGCUGCUCCUUUCUGAAGUGCAUAUAGUCAGUCUGAUGGCUUUUACCCCACACGCAUCUGUUUAAAAACAAUUUCUUCCAUAGACUCCCUGGAUCCCAAAUGCAGCUCCCAACAUCUUUUACCCAUCUGUUGGUAUUGUUAAACUAUUUAAACAAUAUUCUUCAUACCAGCUCAGAUUCAACCUGGUGCGAUGGCCCUGCCCCCACUCAAUUUCCAGUAGAGCUGGGAUUUGAUAUUUUAAAUACAAAAACAAUGUAAUUUAACAUGCAAGCUCCUGUCCCCUACUGUUUGUUGCUACUUCAUGCAGCAUAGUUCAUGAACCUGUGCUAACAGUGAGGGAUUUUGGGGGGAAAAAAGCUCUGAUCCAUAAUACUGUCCUUCCUCUCCAUAAAUGGGCAUGAAUUACAAUCUACAGCAAAAUUGAUUAUUACCCCCACCUUUAUACCAUGGUACAGAACUCUUAAGUCCAGGAUCAAAUGAAAGAGCUCAGCUGUAGCUAUCUUGCUCUACAUGUGCAAUGAUGCCAACCCCAUUCAUGAAGACUAACUUGGAAGUUCACUUUCAAGAAAGAGUUACACAUUAAAUACAUCUGUUUAAGACCAGCUGCUGUGAAACCAUCUUCCCAUCAAGGCUGUAGCUGGUAUCAAGGUUCAUACAGUGACAUUUAAGUGUAUGGAUGGUGGGCAGAUCAGUGUGUAAUUAAUGCAAAAAUACCCCCCUCUGCUCUCUAAUUUAGCCUCUCCCUUAAAAAGAAUUAUUCCUUGAGGUUAGUAAUUAGGACCAACAGCUUUAGGCCAGAUGCUGCAUUCCUUUUUGAAGGGUGUUUCAAGUGUGUGCAGUUUAAAAAUCUUUAGGGUAAAGAACUGCUGUUUUCACUAAUAUCCUAAAAUGAAUGAAAUAUAAGGUCUGAUAGAUUUACUUUUGGGAAGAAGUUACUGUCAAGCAAUGGUUUAUUGAGGUGGAGAAGGCAGUUAACUGUUCUGACUUAGUGGUGAAAAAGCAUAUGGGCAAUGCUCUUGAGUAGAUACUGAAAGUGUGCUAUUAAAGCACUUGCAGUCUGUGUGGCUUUUUUUUUUAAACUCACCUUGCUUUCAUCCUGUGAGAACAAGCCAGGUACUAACCCCCUUUGCUGCAGUAAUUAAAGGAAAAUCCAUCUAAUGAGAGCUCACAGCCAGCAAGGUCCAACAUUUGGAAUUCAUUAGUGACCAAACCUGAAGAGGUAGUGUAACAAUCAUUCUGGGGUAGUGCAGACAGAUCACCCCUUCACCAAACACAAUGUUAGAAAAAUAUAGCCCCCAUUCAGGUACUGAAAUAAUACUGUGAGUGUCCUGCCGCUGCAUUAUACCCUCACCAGG